rnacentral:lncRNA from 1 species
CAAAGUGAAGUAGCCACUCAGGAAACAAGCUGAGGCAGAACUCCCCUUAUGCUCCCCAGGAAGUUCCCACUGGCCCUCAGAGAAGAUGAUGAUGGCUCCCUACUGCCAGUGACCACCAAUGCACAUCUCCUGAAAUGACACACACAAGACCAUCAGAGGUGGAGAAGAUGACAAGUUCAGCUUUGAAGAGGCUGCUUCCUUUCAAGGAUGGCUCAGCUGGACUGUCCUAAACAAUGAGCAUGGGGAAGCUAUGAGGUAGCCCUGGGCUGCACAUUUGUUCCAAAGUGCUACAAAUGACAGCAGCACAAGGAAAUCAGUCAGGGUGGUUGUGGCUAAUGGAUGGGAUCAUUUGAGACCACUGAUGAUAAGAGGAGUUCAAAGGCUAUGGGUGGAACUCAAGGUAAGGUUCUCUGGGCCACAGCCAUCCAGGGAUAACCAUGCAGACAAGAAGCAAGAAUAAGGAGGUAGAGCACUAUAUAUGGAGCUGCCAUUCCGUGAUAUGAACAAAGAUAGACUCAGGGAAUUCAACAGUUGCCUGUAGAUUUCAAGGGUGUUCUUGCAAGAAUCUGUAAUGCAGAUGACUACUUUCUCCAGCACUGACACUUGCUUAUAAAUGAAGAAACUACUACAGGUA